AGAGGAGAAUUAAACCUUUUACAGCAUUGCUCAAACUUUGGUUUUAGUCUCAAUCGCUAAGUUCUUCCUUCAUGACAACUCUGAGGGGGGUGUAUUUUAUUUUAACUCCCUCGUUUAAGCGAUAUAGAUGUUUGAAAUUCACGUGACGCCACAGUGUAAGCUGUGCUGUGUGUUGUGAGUUCGGCUUUAACCAGGUACAAGUGAACGCCUCAUGAAAUGGCUUACACCCACAUACCCAGUAAAUUACACACUUUGAUGUUCUGCUCCUUCUCCUGACGGUCACGGUAACGAUGUCUGCGCCUCCGUUUCUGUGGAUGUCCAGCGUAAGACACAACUUGAAUCCAACCAGACUGAACACUGACUCCAGGGACGGACGAGCCUGAAGGACACAGCUGUGAUGACCAUGUUCUGUCUCUUAUGACAAAGCAGAAAUAUAAAACACUGGGUUCUUAUCUAAAGUGUAUCAAAUCAGAUCUCCACCAUGUUGCUGCUGAGGACAUCAGGUGCUGCAGUUCUUCAUCUAUGAAGAUGAAAAAACUCACUGUUAAAGAAUGUUUUGUGUUGUGUAUGAAGCACAACAGAUUUCAGAUAGAACCGUUGUACUGUGGUCUGGGUUUGUAUCCUAAUGGUUAAAUGCACAUAUUUUAAGUCGCUUUUGAUAAAAGUACUGAAAGAAAUACAACAUUGUAAAAAUAGAUAAAAUGUCUUUCUACCUCAUCUGUAAUAUUCAAGGUGAUAAUCUCCCACAGAGCUAUUGAUAACAGUCCACAUCAAGUCUCUCCACUUCCCUCGGUGUGAAAACAU